rnacentral:lncRNA from 1 species
UCUAAGCUAUUACAGAUCUCUUUACUUUUCCUGUACUCUGCUGGACUGUCCCUGUACACUGAACCUGUACACUGAACCUGCAAAACUGGGGUUAAGGGAGUGGGAUGAGCUCUAUAGCCCAGUGAGUAGAACAGUAAAACAUCUCAGUAAAAUAUGAUCUCAUGGAAUGCACCAUAUCACAGACAAGCCACAUCAAGAGUAAACCUGUCACCACAUAGUCCCAGUAACUCUGUGCCAGGGCGUAGAAUCGAGCACCUGGUCUUCCUGUCAUAUAUGUAUAUGUGUAUAUAACACCUCUGUACUUACCAUUGCCAGGGCGUAGUCAAAGGCUCCUGGACUUUGCUAUAUACCUGCCAGGGCGUAGUCAAAGGCUCCUGGACUUUGCUAUACGUGCCAGGGCGUAGUCAAAGGCUCCUGGACUUCCUGUCUGAGACUAUUGGAUCAUUCAGCAUUUACUCACAUCACCAAAUAAUAAUGCAAUGCAACAUAUUCGUGUAUACUAAUGCAAUCAACCUAUGGCAUAAUCAUGAUGCAUGAGAUAUGCUAAAAGCAGUUUGUCGUUCAAUUAAAAGUCAUAAGUCUUAAGUUUAGUUCCACUCACCUCUGGCUAUCUGGACUAACUGACUCUGCAGGCUCUGAACCUCUGGAGCAGUACUCACUGCUGCUCUCUCUGGUUCCUCUGGUCUGUACCUAUACAGAUGGACUCAAAUGAGGGACCAAACUAACUUAUCAAUACCUCUAUUAAACUCCCCAAGAAUCCCCUUAAACUCAUUCAACUAUCCAUGCAAAGCAUGCAAAAGAAAAGCUGGACAGAACACUUUCGGCGGCAGGUUCGGCGGCCGAAUGUCCUCUCCAGAGACGAAACUCAAGCACCUCCGGCGGCACCUUCGGCGGCCGAAUCCCCCAAACAGAGCCGAACAUGCACAACUCGCGGGGGCAAGCUAUGGUAGCCUAAGCCACCAUGCAAGAGGUUCGGCGGCCGAAUGAACCUUCGGCUGCCGAACCUGAGUUCAUCCAGAACUCAGUUUCAACGGCAAACCAUCUCCUCCUUCCCUUCAAUAACUCCAAACAUGCAUAUACCAAUUCCUCAACACACAUAUACAUAAGUAUAUGAUCACAGGGGUCCAAAACUAUCUAAUAACCCCAAACAACAAAUCAAACAUAACACAUAA